AUGCUUCCAGAUAAGGACAUGCCACACUUACAGUUGCCUACCACCAUUAACACAUCCUCUUCUGCGUGGUCACGUGAAGGUUGCCAGCAUGGGUGGAGAGCUCUGCUGGAGAGCAAGGAGGGAAGCUGCACGCAGUCCCCUGCAAAUGCUGUAAAGAGCGGUCAGAGGUCCCCCUAUCAACUGCAGCCCAGCUGCAGCAAGACAGCCUGCUCCCAGUGGCCUUGGCUCCUGCAGAUGCACGAGAACCAGGCUGGCUGUGUGCUCCAGGUGGAGGAACAAAGGAGCCUUUCAUCUGCUCCUGCAGAGCAGGCUGGUGGCCAGCCCCUGUGUGGUGCCUGGUUCCCUCUGCUGCAGCAGGGAGGUGGGAGAUGUACGUUACCCACCCCUCUCACCCUGAAAGCGAACCAGCCUGGGAGAAAGCAGCAGCAACUCAGCCUUCUCGAGCCCUGCAGGCAAGUUGUAAGGCAGAAAGAACAGAGAGGGAAGCUGGCUUCCCACCCAGCCGCCCGCGUGGAGCGGAUGCCGUGUGCUGUUUUUGCACAAGCUUCCCUUUUCC
rnacentral:lncRNA from 1 species